CAUGAUAAAUGCUAACACUGGAGUGGGCGAUGAAGACUUCACUCUGUCGAAUCCGUGGUUAUUCCUCAGUUAACCAUCAAACAUAGUUUUAUUACUGAAUGAGUGGUCUCUAGGUAUGGUCAUUAAAUCUAUCAAUGUACCAGCUUGUACAGUCCUUCAUACAGGGAGUCACAGACGAUCGUACAAGGCUCAUGAAAUGUUUUUUUUUACCGAGUAGUCAC